GAUGAACGCUGGCGGCGUGCCUAAUACAUGCAAGUCGAGCGAACAGACGAGGAGCUUGCUCCUCUGACGUUAGCGGCGGACGGGUGAGUAACACGUGGAUAACCUACCUAUAAGACUGGGAUAACUUCGGGAAACCGGAGCUAAUACCGGAUAAUAUAUUGAACCGCAUGGUUCAAUAGUGAAAGACGGUUUUGCUGUCACUUAUAGAUGGAUCCGCGCCGCAUUAGCUAGUUGGUAAGGUAACGGCUUACCAAGGCAACGAUGCGUAGCCGACCUGAGAGGGUGAUCGGCCACACUGGAACUGAGACACGGUCCAGACUCCUACGGGAGGCAGCAGUAGAGAAUCUUCCGCAAUGGGCGAAAGCCUGACGGAGCAACGCCGCGUGAGUGAUGAAGGUCUUCGGAUCGUAAAACUCUGUUAUUAGGGAAGAACAAAUGUGUAAGUAACUAUGCACGUCUUGACGGUACCUAAUCAGAAAGCCUCGGCUAACUACGUG
rnacentral:rRNA from 1 species